rnacentral:rRNA from 1 species
GUCGGCUCCUAAGGCGAGGCUGAAAAGCGUAGUCGAUGGGAAACAGGUUAAUAUUCCUGUACUUGGUAAAGCUGCGAUGUGGGGACGGAGUAGGUUAGGUUAUCGCACUGUUGGAUAUGUGCGUUUAAGUUGGUAGGUGGGAAGUUUAGGCAAAUCCGGACUUCCUUAACACAGAGAGAUGAUGACGAGGCUCUACGGAGCUGAAGUAACUGAUACCACACUUCCAGGAAAAGCCACUAAGCGAAAGGCUUUACUAAACCGUACUGAAAACCGACACAGGUGGUCAGGUAGAGAAUACUCAGGCGCUUGAGAGAACUCGGGUGAAGGAACUAGGCAAAAUAGCACCGUAACUUCGGGAGAAGGUGCGCCGGCGUAGAUUGUAGUCCCUAGCGGGCGAAGGUUGAACCGGUCGAAGAUACCAGCUGGCUGCAACUGUUUAUUAAAAACACAGCACUCUGCAAACACGAAAGUGGACGUAUAGGGUGUGAUGCCUGCCCGGUGCUGGAAGGUUAAUUGAUGGUGUCAUCGCAAGAGAAGCACCUGAUCGAAGCCCCAGUAAACGGCGGCCGUAACUAUAACGGUCCUAAGGUAGCGAAAUUCCUUGUCGGGUAAGUUCCGACCUGCACGAAUGGCAUAAUGAUGGCCAGGCUGUCUCCACCCGAGACUCAGUGAAAUUGAAAUCGCCGUGAAGAUGCGGUGUACCCGCGGCUAGACGGAAAGACCCCGUGAACCUUUACUAUAGCUUGACACUGAACAUUGAAUUUUGAUGUGUAGGAUAGGUGGGAGCCUUUGAAGCAGUGACGCCAGUCAUUGUGGAGGCGACCUUGAAAUACCACCCUUUAACGUUUGAUGUUCUAACGAAGAUGACGAAACGUGGUCUCGGACAGUGUCUGGUGGGUAGUUUGACUGGGGCGGUCUCCUCCCAAAGCGUAACGGAGGAGCACGAAGGUUUGCUAAUCACGGUCGGACAUCGUGAGGUUAGUGCAAUGGUAUAAGCAAGCUUAACUGCGAGACAGACA